rnacentral:rRNA from 1 species
GACGAACGCUGGCGGCGUGCUUAACACAUGCAAGUCGAACGGAAAGGCCCUGCUUUUGUGGGGUGCUCGAGUGGCGAACGGGUGAGUAACACGUGAGUAACCUGCCCUUGACUUUGGGAUAACUUCAGGAAACUGGGGCUAAUACCGGAUAGGAGCUCCUGCUGCAUGGUGGGGGUUGGAAAGUUUCGGCGGUUGGGGAUGGACUCGCGGCUUAUCAGCUUGUUGGUGGGGUAGUGGCUUACCAAGGCUUUGACGGGUAGCCGGCCUGAGAGGGUGACCGGCCACAUUGGGACUGAGAUACGGCCCAGACUCCUACGGGAGGCAGCAGUGGGGAAUAUUGCACAAUGGGCGGAAGCCUAAUGCAGCAACGCCGCGUGCGGGAUGACGGCCUUCGGGUUGUAAACCGCUUUCGCCUGUGACGAAGCGUGAGUGACGGUAAUGGGUAAAGAAGCACCGGCUAAUUACGUG